UACGUAGGGGGCAAGCGUUGUCCGGAAUCAUUGGGCGUAAAGAGCGUGUAGGCGGCCAGAUAAGUCCGCUGUGAAAACUCGAGGCUCAACUUCGAGCUGUCGGCGGAAACUAUCUGGCUAGAGUCCGGAAGAGGAGAGUGGAAUUCCUGGUGUAGCGGUGAAAUGCGCAGAUAUCAGGAAGAACACCCGUGGCGAAGGCGGGUCUCUGGGCCGAUACUGACGCUGAGGAGCGAAAGCGUGGGGAGCGAACAGG
rnacentral:rRNA from 1 species